rnacentral:miRNA from 1 species
GACUCUAGAAAAGGAGCUUAAAAUCUAUCUAGGGGCAGGCACAUACUGCCAGACAUCAGAGUAUGGAGGCAUAUUAAUAGUGUGCU